CCCUUAGAUGUUCUGGGCCGCACGCGCGCUACACUGAUGCAUUCAACAAGCCUAGCCUUGACCGAGAGGUCCGGGUAAUCUUUGAAACUGCAUCGUGAUGGGGCUAGAUUAUUGCAAUUAUUAAUCUUCAACGAGGAAUGCCUAGUAAGCUUGAUUCAUCAAAUCGCGUUGAUUACGUCCCUGCCCUUUGUACACACCGCCCGUCGCUCCUACCGAUUGAAUGUGUUGGUGAGGAGCUCGGAUUGGCAGCAGUUGGUGGUUCGCCACCGGCUAUUGCUGAGAAGUCCUCCAAACCGCCCCAUUUAGAGGAAGGAGAAGUCGUAACA
rnacentral:rRNA from 1 species